UAGCUCUAAUGUAAACUUUCAUCAAUCAUUCCUCCCUCCAAUCCAAUGACAUAUAAAAACAUCUUAAAGAUGACCUAAACUCUAUGCCUAAACUGAACUGUCCCACCAAACUCAUUGAUAAGGGGGCGCUACCGUCGUUCAACUAUAUAGUUUCCAACAUGGCAAAAAAUCGGAACCAGCGAUCCGGUAUUGACGGUGGCGCCCCGCUGCCAAUGUCAAGGUUUUAUUUCUAUCAUAUUUUUUUUACCACCAAAACUGUCAGAUGCUAUUUUUCAAAUAGCCCUAUCCUACUAUUUGAUACAAAAUCUAACGAAAUGAAUACUUUACAUUUCUUGUGGGCUGCCCACAGGGAAGAAUUGCGGAGAAGGCGGAAAAUGCGAGAAUUAGCCAGAAUAUAUGAAGAAAAUUUUGAAGACAUGCCAGAGCUUCUGUUCAGGCAACGUUACAGGCUUAACAAAGGCCAAUUUCAGGAGCUUUGUCAUAUAUUGAAACAGGAAACCUCUUUGCGGGGAAAUACAAUAAUUUCUCUGGAAUCCAAGAUGAGCUGCCUGCAGGAUCUGUUGCAACAGCCACUUUUCUGGAGCAUUUUAACAAUUUAUUUGAUUUACUUAAUGCGCAUGCAUUCACCAGACUGGCAAGAAGGGAAGCAAUCAGUGUGUAUAAUAUUAAUUAAAAGAUUUUGUUUAAUAGAGAACAGAAGGUUCUCCACUGAAUCUGCCUAGUAAAGGCUGCCAAAAAAAAAUAAAAAUAUUAAAAAAUUCAUA